AUUGAACGCUGGCGGCAUGCUUUACACAUGCAAGUCGAACGGUAGCAGGCCGCAAGGUGCUGACGAUUGUCGAACGGGUGAGUAAUGCGUCGGAACGCGCCCAGUCGGGGGGGAUAACUACUCGAAAGAGUAGCUAAUACCGCAUACGAUCUAUGGAUGAAAGCGGGUGACCGUAAGGCCUCGCUCGAUUGGAGCGGCUGAUGUCAGAUUAGGUAGUUGGUGGGGUAAAGUCUCACCAAGCCAACGAUCUGUAGCUGGUCUGAGAGGACGACCAGCCACACUGGGACUGAGACACGGCCCAGACUCCUAAGGGAGGCAGCAGUGGGGAAUUUUGGACAAUGGGCGCAAGCCUGAUCCAGCAAUGCCGCGUGCAGGAAGAAGGCCUUCGGGUUGUAAACUGCUUUUGUACGGAACGAAACGGCUCUGGUUAAUAACCGGGGAUAAUGACGGUACCGUAAGAAUAAGCACCGGCUAACUACGUG
rnacentral:rRNA from 1 species